rnacentral:rRNA from 1 species
UACGUAGGGACCAAGCGUUGUCCGGAUUUAUUGGGCGUAAAGAGCUCGUAGGCGGCCCUCCACGUCGGAUGUGAAAGCUCAGGGCUCAACCCUGGGAUGCCAUUCGAUACGGGAAGGCUAGAGGUAGGUAGGGGAAAGUGGAAUUCCCGGUGUAGCGGUGAAAUGCGCAGAUAUCGGGAGGAACACCGGUGGCGAAGGCGGUUCUCUGGGCCUUACCUGACGCUGAGGAGCGAAAGCGUGGGGAGCGAACAGG